CAGGGCUUGCCGUCUUAGAAAUACCACCUGCAGAACUGGUCUCGAUGGGCUGUUCGACCAUAGGAUUAAAUCGUCUGAUUGCUCUUCCUCAUGAACGAUACACCAUUUUUCAUUUAUUGAUAGCCGAAGAUUCAAGAAGUGAUAAUUCUGGAAAGGGGAUGUUCUUCCGUCCGCAGAAGGCUGCCUUCACAAUUUGAAAUCACUCUACAAAGGUCACUCCAUGACCUCUCAAUGGCCAAAUACAGGAUUCUCUUUAGUCUUGACUUCUCUGCAUCACGGGAUCGCAUCCUCAUUGAAACCUCCUCCUUCCUCUUCCACAACCCCAAGACCUCAAAAUGCUUACAACUCUAAGUGUGAUCUAAGGACAAGCAGCAUCAGUGAUGCCUGGGAGCUCUCAUUGGAAAUGCAAAAUUCAGGGCACGUCCCAGCCGGACUGAGUCAGAGUCUGCGUUUUGAUGAGACGACCCGCCCCAGGUGACGCAUGUGCAGAUCGGACUUUGAGAAGCACUGGUCUCGAUGAUGGGGUCCUCUAAGGUUCUGCCCUCUCUCCUUUUCUCCCUUUUCCCAGACAACCACUUCUUUGCCAGACUGUAACUUUUACAUCCUUAUGACUUUCAAGGUAACUCCGGCUAGAUGUAUCUGAGUGCCAGACAUUCAUUUUGAUUUGCUUAACUACUUGCAUAUCCCUUAGGCACCAUGAGCUAAAUAUGUCUAAUAUUGAACUCAUUUUCUUUUACUCCUCUCUCUGCCCAAGCACCCAAGCCAGAAACCUGCUAUUCCCGACUCUUCUUUCUCCCUCCAGUGCUUGAAUAGACUAAUAGAGAAGCAGUGGAGAUAGAGAAUCCCCUGGGAAAAUGUGAAAUUAAAUGCUCCUCUUUUAUCAAAAAUCAAUUCUCCCCUACCUCCCACUCAAAUAGAGAUGGGGUGGAGGUGGGAAGGUGGGGAGGUGGGGAGGUGGGAGGGUGCGGGGAAGGGACAUUCUGUCAAGGUCAGCUGUGAGACCUGGUUUGCGUGGCUUUCAUGGCGUUUGGAGAAAAUGGGAGAGCAUGAAGUAUUUUCCAUCUGAAAGCACUUGCAAGUUUGGCACAGCCUCUCUCUUUUCGUUUGUUUUUAAUAGUUUGAAAUCAGAGUAGAGGGAACGUUGAAUCCUAAACAAGUCAGUUCAGAGUGGAAGUGGAGGCCCUUUCCUCAAGCAAGACAGGGCAAAAAUAUACACAUCCUGGUUUGCCUUCUGACUGCUAUUAAAAGGAAACCUCUGUUGUACUUGGAAGUUCACCAGAUGUUGGCCUUUCUUUAUUCUUAAAGGUACAUGCUCCCAGGAGCGAAAGUUUAUUUUAAAUAAUGUCCUGAUUCAGGAUUUUAGUUGCCCUCUGAAUGACAUCUAG